UGGGGAAUUUUGCACAAUGGGGGGAACCUUGAUGCAGCGACGCCGCGUGAGGGAUGGAGGCCUUCUGGUUGUGAACCUCUUUCGCUCGUGUGCAAGCCGCUAUUUGGGUAGUGGUGAGUGUAGCGGGUAAAGAAGCGCCGGCUAACUACGUUCCAGCAGCCGCGGUAAUACGUAGGGCGCGAGCGUUGUCCGGAUUUAUUGGGCGUAAAGGGCUUGUAGGCGGUUUGUCGCGCCUGUCGUGUAAUCCUCUGGCUUAACUGGGGGUGUGCGGUGGGUACGGGCAGGCUUGAGUGCGGUAGGGGAGAUUGGAAUUCCUGGUGUAGCGGUGGAAUGCGCAGAUAUCAGGAGGAACACCGGUGGCGAAGGCGGGUCUCUGGGCCGUUACUGACGCUGAGGAGCGAAAGCGUGAGGAGCGAACAGG
rnacentral:rRNA from 1 species